rnacentral:Y_RNA from 1 species
AGCUUGUCCGAAGGUAGUGCAUUAUCUCAAUAGAUUGUUCACAGUCAGUUACAGAUCGCACUCCUCAUUCUGCUCCUCCCCCCCUUCUCACUACUGCACUUGACUAGUCUUAA